CUCUGAGGAUGAUACCUGGAGAUUCAGAUGCUGUCUGUUGACUGGCAAGUUUCCCAAGGGAACUUUUCCUUUUCAUGUUUCCUGUCUCUCUGCCUUCUUGGAUGUUCUGGGUUCUGAAGGACAUUGUUUUCCUUGUCUCCUGUUACUAAGAGGUGUGGAAAAUGUUGCUUAUGAGUACUCUGUUGGUCCAUUGUCAAGAAUGAAUGGUGAAAGGACAAGUGAGAACCUAAGUAUUCAGUGAAACCGAGCGUUGAAGGCUGAGAGGCAAGGGACUGGAGGUUGGUAGCAAGCUGAUUUCUGAAAGCUUCAACCAGGAAUGUGUAAGAGGGGCUAAAAAUAAACCAGUUGUGAAGCAUCAGAUUCCUUCUGCAUCAUCUCUUUAUGACUCAACUGUCCUCUUUGCAGAAGUUGGGAAUUCACAAGCAUCACAACAGACCUUUAGAGUAGGCAAGAGCCAGUCCCCUGGGGUUCAGCAUUUGUUCAUUCAUUUAAUAAAUAUUUU